GAGUUUGAUCGUGGCUCAGGAUAAACGCUGGCGGCGUGCAUGAGACAUGCAAGUCGAACGGUAGAGAGAAGCUUGCUUCUCUUGAGAGCGGCGGACGGGUGAGUAAUGCCUAGGAAUCUGCCUGGUAGUGGGGGAUAACGCUCGGAAACGGACGCUAAUACCGCAUACGUCCUACGGGAGAAAGCAGGGGACCUUCGGGCCUUGCGCUAUCAGAUGAGCCUAGGUCGGAUUAGCUAGUUGGUGAGGUAAUGGCUCACCAAGGCGACGAUCCGUAACUGGUCUGAGAGGAUGAUCAGUCACACUGGAACUGAGACACGGUCCAGACUCCUACGGGAGACAGCAGUGGGGAAUAUUGGACAAUGGGCGAAAGCCUGAUCCAGCCAUGCCGCGUGUGUGAAGAAGGUCUUCGGAUUGUAAAGCACUUUAAGUUGGGAGGAAGGGCAGUAAAUUAAUACUUUGCUGUUUUGACGUUACCGACAGAAUAAGCACCGGCUAACUCUGUGCCAGCCGCCG
rnacentral:rRNA from 1 species